UACGGGGGGAGCAAGCGUUGUUCGGAUUUACUGGGCGUAAAGGGCGCGUAGGCGGUCAGCACAAGUCAGUUGUGAAAUCUCCGGGCUUAACUCGGAAAGGUCAACUGAUACUGUGCGUCUAGAGUGCGGAAGGGGCAACUGGAAUUCUCGGUGUAGCGGUGAAAUGCGUAGAUAUCGAGAGGAACACCUGCGGCGAAGGCGGGUUGCUGGGCCGACACUGACGCUGAUGCGCGAAAGCCAGGGGAGCGAACGGG
rnacentral:rRNA from 1 species